GAAAUGCGAUAAGUAAUGUGAAUUGCAGAAUUCCGUGAAUCAUCGAAUCUUUGAACGCACAUUGCGCCCUCUGGUAUUCCGGGGGGCAUGCCUGUCCGAGCGUCAUUGCGAACCCCUCAAGCACGGCUUGUGUGAUGGGCCCUCCCGCGUCUUGGUCGUCAAGACGGGCCCGAAAUGCAGUGGCGGCUUCGCGGUUAUCCGAUCAGCCAGAGCGUAUGGGGACUUUCUCUCUGUCACACGCCCGCGGCGCGGACCGACGCCUAUCGACCUUUAUUCAUCUUUUUCUCGGUUGACCUCGGAUCAGGUAGGGAUACCCGCUGAACUUAAGC
rnacentral:misc_RNA from 1 species